ensembl:lncRNA
UAAUCACAAACACUGAGAUUAAAUCUGGUGCAACACACAUCAACAGUUGAAAAUGGGUGUAAUGCUUUUUCUAAUAUCCCCUCAAGGUCAGACAUUACUGAAAAGAGCAGUUGUGUUGGUGUCUCAUGACGAAGUGAAGCACUACCUCAGGAGUCAAGCACAAACCACUGCAGAGGAAUCAACAACCUCUGAGAGUCAGCAGGACGCAGCACCUGCCACAGACCUUCACGUGGGAGAGCAUAGGGAUGGUCUUGAGGAACAGGGCUGUACUAGUGGUACUCUAGAAGAGAGGGUCUCUCAAGAAGUGAAGGAAACCGACACCGCCUCCAUAUCUGCCCAACAAAGCACUGUCGAAAAAAGGAGAAGGCUUUCCAAGCCCAAACCCAGUCUGAGCCGGGCAGCACAGUCCAUCCACAGACCUCUGAAUGUACAGAAGACAGAUUUUAGUGAAAAUACCCCGUAUUUCAAACAUGACUCAGUGCAGCUGCAGUGUAGCAGUCCUGUGGAAGUCCAAGUGAAGAAUACCCCAAAUGAAUGCCUCGAAGAAGAGCACAGGGACCGUCCUGAGAAAGAGAGCACAUGUAGUGUCACUCCAGAAGAGAACGGCCCUCAGGAAGUUCAGGUCCAGGAUGAUGAAGCAGAAACCACUGUAGAUGAUCUUCCUUCCUUAACAUCAGUUGGAAGUCCUCCAGGAGCGAGUAAGAUUUUACCCAUCCUUGAGAUGCCCCAGGUUCUUGACACCACACCAUCAGAUGAAGAUGUGCCUGAAAGAAGAAGAGAAUUUGAUAGGUCUCCAUCGCAGACGUCUGAGAAUGAAGAUCUAAUUACUGAUCAGAAGGAGGAAGAUUCAGAGCCUGUUGCAUCUGAAGUCACAGACGUCAUGAUUGAGGAAUCUCAGACAGAGCUGAAGAGGAUUUUUCCAGUCAGCUGUUCUGUGGAUGGUUCCUCAGUUUAUACUCAAGAUGAUAUUGCCCCAGAGAGAGACAGUCAGUUUGCUAAGCAAACACCCAACCUAGAAGGGACAUCCCCAGUCAUGAUCAGCCCUCAGCAGACCUCAGAGCCUAAAGAAGGUGGGGUUCAUGUUCAGAUUGACAAUAUCGAUUUAAGGGUCACUGGUGUUACCGCCAAUGAUAUAGACUCGACAUCUUCAUUUAGAUCCUUCUGAAAAGCCAGAACCUCAGAGUCCUGUUCAAGCCCAGCACAGUAAUUUGGAUCAUGACUUAGAGAACAUCUCCAGAGAAGAUAAGAUUUUGUCAUCUGAGGUGGAUUUACAGGGAUGUAAACUGGAUGAGGAUCUUCUGUCUCCUGUCCCAUUACUUAGCUCAACACAAACUUUAUCCGCAAAAGUUCUUGUGGACGGCACUGAUAAAAGAAAUACAGAACCAAAUGGUGAGUUUUAGACUUUUAAGUUGUAUUUAAUUAGUUUGAUCUAAUUUUAUUUUCUUAAUAGAAAUAUUUAGGCCACAUGUUUACACUCUUAAGUUAAAACAAAAAACUGACUAGGAACCAUCCUUUAUGUGUACAUGCAAAUGACUGAGUCUGUUU